rnacentral:rRNA from 1 species
CGGCGAGUGAAGCGGCAAAAGCUCAAAUUUGAAAUCUGGCUCUUUCAGAGUCCGAGUUGUAAUUUGAAGAAGGUAUCUUUGGGUCUGGCUCUUGUCUAUGUUUCUUGGAACAGAACGUCACAGAGGGUGAGAAUCCCGUGCGAUGAGAUGAUCCAGGCCAAUGUAAAGUUCCUUCGAAGAGUCGAGUUGUUUGGGAAUGCAGCUCUAAGUGGGUGGUAAAUUCCAUCUAAAGCUAAAUAUUGGCGAGAGACCGAUAGCGAACAAGUACAGUGAUGGAAAGAUGAAAAGAACUUUGAAAAGAGAGUGAAAAAGUACGUGAAAUUGUUGAAAGGGAAGGGCUUGAGAUCAGACUUGGUAUUUUGUAUGUUACUUCUUCGGGGGUGGCCUCUACAGUUUAUCGGGCCAGCAUCAGUUUGGGCGGUAGGAGAAUUGCGUUGGAAUGUGGCACGGCUUCGGUUGUGUGUUAUAGCCUUCGUCGAUACUGCCAGCCUAGACUGAGGACUGCGGUUUAUACCUAGGAUGUUGGCAUAAUGAUCUAAAGUCGCCCGUCAUGACCC